rnacentral:lncRNA from 1 species
AAAAAUUCACUAACAAAGAAAAUGAAAUGAAUAACACUGAAUAAUUAUCGAUAAUUGUCAACAAACAUAAUUUAACCAAAUACAAGUGACAAGUCCAACAUAAAUAGAAGAGUAUUGUAACAACAUAAAAACCAAAUUUCAGCAACAUGUAGAAGACUAGCAGUUUUGAGACUAAUGAACCAUGAUCAGUUCGUUUCCAGCAACACAACAAAGCCAACAACACUGAUCAGACCGAAAAAAAAAAAAUUUAUUCUAGCAGUUUUAGUGAAGCAUACAACAAAUACCAAUCUAAGAAGAAGCUAAAAAAGUGCAAAGAUGCACCAAUACUCAUGACCUAUUUUUGCAUCAAAGAAAAAAGAUGGCCAACUCCAGCAAUACCCACCAUCUUCAUCAAAUUCCAACAUAGCAAGUGCAACAAGCUAGGUAACUGCACAAGUAAAUAUAACAUCAUCAAAACAUGGUGGGGAAAAUGAUCUUAAAACAUCUCCCUUGCAAUUACCACAAACUUUUUUGAAAGCUUACUGAUGUGAUGCGAUGGAGCUUCUUUUAUGAUAUGCACAGCUUUUUGGUUUGGCUUU